rnacentral:rRNA from 1 species
CCUACGGGAGGCAGCAGUGAGGAAUAUUGCACAAUGGGCGCGAGCCUGAUGCAGCGACGCCGCGUGAAUGAUGACGGGUCUACGCGCGGUAAGCUUCUUUUAUAAAGGAAUAAAGUGAGGCUCGUGUGCCUUUUAGCAUGUACUUUAUGCAUAAGGACCGGCUAACUCCGUGCCAGCAGCCGCGGUAAUACGGAGGGUACGAGCGUUAUCCGGAUUUAUUGGGUUUAAAGGGAGCGUAGAUGGGUUGUUAAGUCAGUUGUGAAAGUUUGCGGUUCAACCGUAAAAUUGCAAUUGAUACUGGCAGACUUGAGUACAGUUGAGGUAGGCGGAAUUCGUGGUGUAGCGGUGAAAUGCUUAGAUAUCACGAAGAACUCCGAUUGCGAAGGCAGCUUACUAAGCUGCAACUGACAUUGAUGCUCGAAAGUGUGGGUAUCAAACAGGAUUAGAUACCCCGGUAGUC